UACGUAGGGGGCAAGCGUUGUCCGGAUUUAUUGGGCGUAAAGCGCGCGCAGGCGGUUUUUUAAGUCUGAUGUGAAAGCCCACGGCUCAACCGUGGAGGGUCAUUGGAAACUGGAGAACUUGAGUACAGAAGAGGAAAGCGGAAUUCCACGUGUAGCGGUGAAAUGCGUAGAGAUGUGGAGGAACACCAGUGGCGAAGGCGGCUUUCUGGCUCGUAACUGACGCUGAGGCGCGAAAGCGUGGGGAGCAAACAGG
rnacentral:rRNA from 1 species